AAAGGAAAAGUGCCGGUAGAUGAAAAUAUAAGAAGAUGGGGUUUACAAGGGCCUUCUAGGUGCUGGUGUUGUACUAAUCCAGAGCAGAAAAUCAUUUCAUUUCUAAAAGCUCCACUUGCUAAUCGGACAUGGUCUUAUUUUUUUUUCUUUUACAGGUAUUAACAUAGAAGAGUUGAGAUUCAGGGAGAUUAUAAUAGUAUGGUGGAAUGUUGAUAGCAGAAGCAGAGCAAAGGCAUAUUAUCAAGCUAUAUCUAGCAUGAUCAUUUGGGAACUUUGAAAAAGAAGGAAUAGCAUAAAGC
rnacentral:lncRNA from 1 species